rnacentral:hammerhead_ribozyme from 1 species
AUCCGACUGAUGAGUCCCAAACAGGACGAAACGCGCGUCCUGAAU